rnacentral:ncRNA from 1 species
AUUAUAUAAAUUUAAUUCUAGUUUAUUAUUUAAUUUUAUGUUAUGGUAGAUUAACAUGUAAGUUUUAGCGUUAAUGUAAUAAAUUUUAAUCUUAAUGAUUAAAUUAUUUUUAUUUUAUGCAGUUAUUUAUUUUAUAUAUUUUAUUUUUAAAGAUAUAGCUCCUUCAAUUUUAACUAGCAAAAAUUGUGCCAGCGGCUGCGGUUACACAAUUAGUUAUAAUUAAUUGGUUUAAUAAUUUAAGUUUAUUAAUUGUUUUGAAUGUUAAGGUUUUAUUAUUAAGGUGAAAUUUAUAAUAUUAUUUAUAAUUUUGGUUAUAAAAUUAUAGGAAAUUUUUAAUUUAAACUAGGAUUAGAUACCCUAUUAUUUUAAAUGUAAAUUUUUAUUUAUUAUUAAUAGAUUUGGUCUUUAAAUUAAAAGAAUUUGACGGUAAUUUAAUCAUUUCAGAGGAACCUGUCCUUUAAUUGAUAUUCCACGAUAUAUUUUACUUUAAUUAAUGUUUGUAUAUCUCUGUUUAUUGAGUGUUUUAUAAGAAUUUAUUCUCUGAUAUUAUUAUUUAAUAUAUAUCAGGUCAAGGUGCAGCUAUAUUAAAGGUUGAGAUGGGUUACAUUAAUUGUAAUUAAUUUUGGAUUAAUUUAUUUUAAUUAUUUAUGAAAUUGGAUUUGAAUGUAAUUAUUAUUAUAUUUUAAUAAUGAUAUUUGUUCUAUAUUAAGUACAUAUCGCCCGUCGCUCUCAUUAUUUAAAUGGGAUAAGUCGUAACAAAGUAGGCUUAUCGGAAGAUGAGCCUGGAUUUAAA